GUGCCAGCAGCCGCGGUAAUACGUAGGUGGCAAGCGUUGUCCGGAUUUAUUGGGCGUAAAGCGAGCGCAGGCGGUCAAUUAAGUCUGAUGUGAAAGCCCCCGACUCAACCGGGGAGGGUCAUUGGAAACUGGUUGACUUGAGUGCAGAAGAGGAGAGUGGAAUUCCAUGUGUAGCGGUGAAAUGCGUAGAUAUAUGGAGGAACACCAGUGGCGAAGGCGACUCUCUGGUCUGUAACUGACGCUGAGGCUCGAAAGCGUGGGUAGCAAACAGGAUUAGAUACCCUGGUAGUCCACGCCGUAAACGAUGAGUGCUAAGUGUUGGAGGGUUUCCGCCCUUCAGUGCUGCAGUUAACGCAUUAAGCACUCCGCCUGGGGAGUACGACCGCAAGGUUGAAACUCAAAUAAAUUGACGG
rnacentral:rRNA from 1 species